GCACCUUUCGCCACUCCGGCACAAACCGACACAGCUUUGCGAUCUCGCCAGCAUGCAGAGUCUGAUGUCUUCCCUAUAGAUGAUUCCAGAGACUCUGUGAGGCCACUAUUACAAGGUGAGACGCUUUGCGUUGAUUGGUGCUGCUGGACCACACUGGAGGUGCGAGUCCGCCGUGUAAUGGUUUAUGCCAUUACAAAGGAGCUGGCCUCUGUACUCAACUGGACAGGGGAAAAAAAAACAAGGACCAGACAAAGCAAAAAAGGGCAUUUAAAGAGACAGCGCCGUGCAGAUGCAUAUUUGAUGGCCUGGCGCAGCAGGUAGGGGCGAACUCUAUGUCUGAGUUGGUCUUUGCUCAAGCAGUCCAGAAAUGGCUCAGAUAUGCUCCAGAUCGUACGGGUGGCACGCAGGACGCCCAUCAUCCAUCCCCAUCCCGGAGUAAAUAAUAAAAAGUGACGUGAAACAUAGAAAUGUAAAUAGGAAACUUUGUCUUUUAAUAAAGUAUUUUGCAAAUGAUACAUGUCUAUUGACCUUUUUUGGUUUUUUGUUUUUUUUCAAUAAAAAGCAACUGUGCGAAAGAGGUGGAAAAUCAAUA